UACGUAGGGGGCAAGCGUUGUCCGGAUUUACUGGGCGUAAAGCGCGCGCAGGCGGAUUGGUAAGUCCGGGGUGAAAUCUCACGGCUCAACUGUGAGCGGUCCCCGGAUACUGCCAGUCUCGAGGUGUCUAGAGGAGAGCGGAAUUCCCGGUGUAGUGGUGGAAUGCGUAGAUAUCGGGAAGAACACCAGUGGCGAAAGCGGCUCUCUGGGGACCACCUGACGCUGAGGCGCGAAAGCGUGGGGAGCGAACCGG
rnacentral:rRNA from 1 species